GAUGAACGCUGGCGGCGUGCCUAAUACAUGCAAGUCGAGCGAACGGACGAGAAGCUUGCUUCUCUGAUGUUAGCGGCGGACGGGUGAGUAACACGUGGAUAACCUACCUAUAAGACUGGGAUAACUUCGGGAAACCGGAGCUAAUACCGGAUGAUAUUUUGAACCGCAUGGUUCAAAAGUGAAAGACGGUCUUGCUGUCACUUAUAGAUGGAUCCGCGCUGCAUUAGCUAGUUGGUAAGGUAACGGCUUACCAAGGCAACGAUGCAUAGCCGACCUGAGAGGGUGAUCGGCCACACUGGAACUGAGACACGGUCCAGACUCCUACGGGAGGCAGCAGUAGGGAAUCUUCCACAAUGGGCGAAAGCCUGACGGAGCAACGCCGCGUGAGUGAUGAAGGUCUUCGGAUCGUAAAACUCUGUUAUGAGGGAAGAACAUAUGUGUAAGUAACUGUGCACAUCUUGACGGUACCUAAUCAGAAAGCCACGGCUAACUACGUG
rnacentral:rRNA from 1 species